rnacentral:misc_RNA from 1 species
GAUGAAGAACGUAGCGAAAUGCGAUAAGUAAUGCGAAUUGCAGAAUUUCCGUGAGUCAUCGAAUCUUUGAACGCACAUUGCGCCCGCCAGUACUCUGGCGGGCAUGCCUGUCCGAGCGUCAUUUCAACCCUCAGGGCCCUCCAGCAGGGCGCUGGUGUUGGGGAUCGGCAGUCCCAGCGGCUGCCGUCCCUGAAAUGUAGUGGCGGUCCCACCGUGACCUCCCCUGUGCAGUACAUCGCUCGCAGAGGGACAGCGGUGCGGCCACGCCGUAAAACGCCCAACUCUUCAAGGUUGACCUCGGAUCAGGUAGGACUACCCGCUGAACUUAAGCAUAUCAAUAAGCGGAGGA